GUACGGAGGGUGCAAACGUUGCUCGGAAUUAUUGGGCGUAAAGCGCACGUAGGUGGUCCAGCAAGUCGGGUGUGAAAGCCCUCGGCUUAACCGAGGAAGUGCAUUCGAAACUGCGCAGCUAGAGUCCUGGAGAGGAAGGUGGAAUGCUUGGUGUAGAGGUGAAAUUCGUAGAUAUCAAGCGGAACACCGGUGGCGAAGGCGGCCUUCUGGACAGUGACUGACGCUGA
rnacentral:rRNA from 1 species